GACGAACGCUGGCGGCGUGCCUAAUACAUGCAAGUAGAACGCACAGUUUAUACCGUAGCUUGCUACACCAUAGACUGUGAGUUGCGAACGGGUGAGUAACACGUAGGUAACCUGCCUGGUAGCGGGGGAUAACUAUUGGAAACGAUAGCUAAUACCGCAUAAUAUUAAUUAUUGCAUGAUAAUUAAUUGAAAGGUGCAAUUGCACCACUACCAGAUGGACCUGCGUUGUAUUAGCUAGUAGGUGAGGUAACGGCUCACCUAGGCGACGAUACAUAGCCGACCUGAGAGGGUGAUCGGCCACACUGGGACUGAGACACGGCCCAGACUCCUACGGGAGGCAGCAGUAGGGAAUCUUCGGCAAUGGACGAAAGUCUGACCGAGCAACGCCGCGUGAGUGAAGAAGGUUUUCGGAUCGUAAAGCUCUGUUGUAAGAGAAGAACGGGUGUGAGAGUGGAAAGUUCACACUGGGACGGUAUCUUACCAGAAAGGGACGGCUAACUACGU
rnacentral:rRNA from 1 species